UACGUAGGUGACAAGCGUUGUCCGGAUUUACUGGGCGUAAAGGGUGCGCAGGCGGUCUCGUAAGCUGGGUGUGAAAGCCCCGGGCUUAACCUGGGAAUGGCAUUCAGGACUGCGAGGCUUUGAGUGUGGCAGAGGGAGGUGGAAUUCCACGUGUAGCAGUGAAAUGCGUAGAGAUGUGGAGGAACACCGAUGGCGAAGGCAGCCUCCUGGGCCAGCACUGACGCUCAUGCACGAAAGCGUGGGGAGCAACAGG
rnacentral:rRNA from 1 species